rnacentral:misc_RNA from 1 species
GAUGAAGAACGUAGCGAAAUGCGAUAAGUAAUGUGAAUUGCAGAAUUCAGUGAAUCAUCGAAUCUUUGAACGCAUCUUGCGCUCCUUGGUAUUCCGAGGAGCAUGCCUGUUUGAGAGUCAUUUAACUUCUCAACCACAUUGGAUAUUUUUUUUCCGAUGCCGGCUUGGAUGUGGGGGUUGUUUGCAGGCUUUUUGUAACAAAAAAGGUCGGCUCCCCUGAAAUGUAUUAGUGGUAUCUGAGGCUAUUACUAUUAGGUGUGAUAAUUAUCUAUGCCUUUUGGGUAUGCCGCAUGAACAGAUUAUGCUGCUUCUAACGAAAACUAUUUUGAUGAAUUUGACCUUAAAUCAGGUAGGACUACCCGCUGAACUUAAGCAUAUCAAUAAGCGGAGGA